rnacentral:rRNA from 1 species
AUUGAACGCUGGCGGCAUGCUUUACACAUGCAAGUCGAACGGUAACAGGCCUUCGGGCGCUGACGAGUGGCGAACGGGUGAGUAAUGCAUCGGAACGUGCCCAGUCGUGGGGGAUAACUAUCCGAAAGGAUAGCUAAUACCGCAUACGAUCUGCGGAUGAAAGCGGGGGACCUUCGGGCCUCGCGCGAUUGGAGCGGCCGAUGUCAGAUUAGGUAGUUGGUGGGGUAAAGGCUCACCAAGCCAACGAUCUGUAGCUGGUCUGAGAGGACGACCAGCCACCCUGGGCAUGAGACACGGCCCAGACGCCUACGGGAGGCAGCAGUGGGGAAUUUUGGACAAUGGGCGCAAGCCUGAUCCAGCAAUGCCGCGUGCGGGAAGAAGGCCUUCGGGUUGUAAACUGCUUUUGUACGGAACGAAAAGGACUGCCCUAAUACGGUGGUCCCAUGACGGUACCGUAAGAAUAAGCACCGGCUAACUACGUGCCAGCCGCCGCCGUAAGAC